rnacentral:ncRNA from 1 species
UAUCUGUGAAACAGGAGCCGUGAUGGAGAGCGGGGACUGUGGAGAUAUUGCAAAAGGUGGCAACUUACCAUAAACCAUCUAGCGAAAGCGAAAGAAAGUUGCUGAU